UGGGGAUUAGUGUAACGGUAGCACGACAGACUCUGGAUCUGUCUGUCCUGGUUCGAAUCCAGGAUCCCCAGCCA
rnacentral:tRNA from 2 species